rnacentral:misc_RNA from 1 species
AAACCUCAACCUCCUUGGUUUCUUCUGGAGACCAAAGGCAGGCUUGGACUUUGGAGGCCUUUGCUGGAACCUCUCUCUUUUGAAGGCCAGCUCCUCUUAAACGAAUUAGCAGGGUCCUCUUUGCCGAUCCUCGACGUGUGAUAAGAUGUUUCCAUGUCUUGGUUUCUGGCUCUGUCACUUUUGGGACCCGCUUCUAACCGUCUUGACCUUGCAUCGAGACAAUGUUCGAGCAUGUCUCCCUUCUCGGGAAGCUCCCUCGACCCCACGAAC